rnacentral:lncRNA from 1 species
CGAUGAGCAAAGAAUUAGGGAUAGCUCUGAUUUUGCAAAACAAAGGCGAGGCGCAAAGAUCUAUGGCCCACGUAGCGGUGCCAUAAGACAGGGAUAUUGCGGAGUAUUAUUCCACUAAAAAGGUCCAGGUGCAAAGAAUAUUGCCUGGAACUUGAAUAAGGAGCGUAGCGGAGUAGCGGAGCGGUGGGUUCGGUGGCUUCGCCCUGCUUCGCCCUUUGUUUUCCAGCCAGCGUAGCGGACACCGGACACCUUUCUUUUCUCUUUUCCAGCGUAGCGUAGCGGAGAAAUCAAGCGGAAAUCCUCUUUGAACCGCGGAGUGGGGAUUUUCAGCCUAGCGUAGCGGAGCGGUGGCUCUCCCUAUUAAUAGAACUUUGUCUUUGUACUUGGUCAAAAUCAAGCGGAAAUCUUCCUGUCCUCCGGACUAUCCAUUAGAAGCGCCUCUUGUCGAGUAAGAAAGGUUCGGUAAAACUCUCGGGGAUUCCUUAUUCAGUUUAUUCCUUUCAUAUGAAACCGCGAUACUUUUCAUUGACUUCCUUCUCUUUCUUCCUUUUAUUCCGUUUCGGAUUCUAGAAUCUUUCCCCGCGUAGUGGGCAUUGACUUCUUCAUUGAUCUUCCCCGCUUGAUUUAUGGAUGUUCAUUGAUUCCUCUUGUUUUUCUUUUCUUCUUAUAUCCUAUUAUGACUUGAAAACCACUAAAUCUUUCUUCCAAAAUCUACUAUAAGGAGGAGUUCAAACCUUUGCCUUUUUAUUCUAUUCCUUCGCCUAUUUUUUGGUCUCAUUGACUUCUAAUGGAUAGUCAUCUGGACCUUUCUUCUUUGACCGCCUUGAUUUUUCAUAGCUGGAAUCCUAGCCAAUAUUUAGGAAAAGAAAUCCGCCUUUUAGCCACUCUAUUUGAUUGAUAUUAAUCGUGUAUUCGCGCGGACAAGGCACACGGGGAUUACGCACCGGGGACGAAUUCAACCUCAGUAUGAAAACAAGGCCCAAUAUCAUAAGCCAAAGGCGUGAAGCCACUCACAACCCACUACGCGGGGAGUCGCUCGGUCAGCUUGAGCUUUACCCAAAUCGUACGCACGAACACAGCUCAAUAGGGUCACAAAGGGGUAGGGUAAGCAGAAAGAGCUUCAAGAUACAGCAUUCUCAACUGAUAAAGAAGAAAGCGAAGCCAUAGGAGGAAGGGCAAGAAGACAACCAGGCGCAGAAGAAAGAUAAGCCAGAAUAGAAUGUAGUAGAUUCAUUCCUUUGAUCUCAGGCCGGGGACUGACUCUGAUGAAGAAAGGGAUGAAAGGGGGAAAGCAUCCUAAAAUGAGGUUGGCUUGGAACAUCUUUUCUCAAAGGAAAGGAAAGAAGAAUCCACAUCCACUGCUUAAACGUAAUUCCCCUAGGCUGAUUAGCCCGCCCUGUCGAUCGUGGGAGAUCUUUCAAGGUUGGGGUUCGUGCAUGAACAAAAAAGAGAGAAGUCAGAAGACCCGAGGUGGACUCGUUGGAAUCCGCCCUUUAUUAUAUUAGUGCGAAUGCACAAUUUGCAAGGUUUUGACUCCCUCGCUCCUACGCCUUCUACGUCUUCCUUCUUUUUUCCCUUUUCGGAACCCGUCAAAAAGAGUCAAAUCAAUGAAGGAGUACAAUGAACAAGGGUUCAAUUCCUCUUUAUUCAGUUCCACGCAAUCGCAUAUUUCAUUGCGCCUACUAACCGUCCUCCGGACUAUCCGUAUGAACCUAGCCUUCGGACCAGCUGACUGAUUUAUGGAACGAAUGGACGCGUAGUAGGUUUGGAAGGAAUUGCAUUUUGAUGCCAGAGAAGACCGCUACGUGGGAAAAGCCUAGUGGAUAGUCAAAGAAAGGUCCAGGCGCAGGCGCAAAGCAAAGAAAGAAGCUCAUUAACUCGAAUGAAAGAAUCAUUAUGAUUGAAUCACCCAUAACCUGGAGGGAAAUCCAGAAUAGACCCGUAUUUCUCCGGACCAUAAACUCAAACUAGAACUGAUCCAUGUGAAUUUCUGGGAUAGGCUUGAUUCUUUCAUUGCGUUUUCCCGGCUUUUUUGCUUCUAAAUAGGACUAAAUCAAAGAUUGAUAUUUAACGAAAAUUGUCUAAAAAUGACGGAUUUUUCAUGAUUUCUUGCUACUUUAUAGGCCCAAAACCUAGCAUUUUCUUGUAUUUCCCUCCGCGGAUUCAUCUUCAAUCUAGCUCUUCAAUCUAGCAGAUUAAUCUGAAAUCUAGCAGAUUCAUAAUUCUUCUUGAAUUCGAGUUAAUGAGCCCGUAGUUAGGAGUAUUAAGACCGGUCCUACGUCCAUUUAUCCUCCGGACUAUCCGUAAUUAACCGAACUUUGCGCCUUUCUUUUUCUUCCGCUACGUGGGGAAUCAAUUUCUUAAGAAUCUUCUCAACAAUAUCCCUGUCGAUAAUUCAGGCUUCGGACCAGGCUCGACUGAGAUGGAGGAGAGGACUAGAAAUAAAGAAAGCACUACGCGGGGGGGAAGAAUGGAUAUUGUGCUAGGCGCAAAGCAAGCCCUUCUAAUGGAUAGUCCGGAGGCGCAAUUCAAUAUGCGAUCCUUUUUUUUCAAUUUCGAAAAGAUGAAAACUAGUUAGAUCAAUGGAAUGGCUAGUAAACUGCUGGAUAGACUUCCUUUAUCAGAUUAUGAACUUGACUCCUAUAAUUAUUUAAAUAGAUGGAACUCUUACUUGACGAACUGAGGAUGUAUUUGAUCCCUCGGAAAAAAUGAAUAAUAGAAUUUCCCCCCGGGCUAACCUUCUUUCUAUUUGUUGGUGGGACAUUUCAUUUCCUUCUCACGCAAUAUUCUUUGCGCCUUUGUCUUUGUCAUCAGCGAAGGUAGCUCUCUAAAAAGUACUUUGAUGCGAGAAUGGAUUCUUCCGAAUAGGUAGGGUUCCAUCUGUGUGCCAAGGACUUGUUCCCUAAAGAAGGAGGGAGAAAGAGCCAUUGCCGCCCUCUACCGCCUUUGUCCCAGCGCUGGCUUGGCUUCAAAGUGGAAAGUAGGCGCAAAGAAUAUUGCUCAAGAAUAUUGACGCUCCGUGCCGAUUAUCUGAUCGCUCAUCCAUGAGCUAGCGCUUGAAUGAAACUAAUCCCUUCGACCCCACGUAGCGGUUCGUUCCCAAUCUCUAUCGUCAAAUAAGAUAUAAGAGGGCUCAGACGAUGUUCUCUUGUCCCCUCGGGAAAUUCGAUGAAAUCAUCCCGCAGGACGCGAACCAGGACUGGCCGUAGGUUAAGAUAGUUACCUAUGGCAAAUAUGGGUCUCCUCAAUAGAACAGGGCCUCUGACCGAGAGGUCGUUAGACUCAAGCAUGUCCUAUCCUCUUUUCAAAGCAAUCCAAGGUGGUGUGAACAGCCUAUUGCAUUUAACCAAGGCGGACUCGUGGAGCCCAGAGAUCGCCUUGCCUUGGGACCACUCUUCCCCUAGUGCAUUGCAUGGACGGAGACAACUAGGUCUCGCCAUGAAGCAAGCUCAUAGGGAAGAAGGCAGGCUUUAGCCAUGGCCCCUUGCCUGUCCUCUUAGCAGCCUUGGAAGCAUACUUUCCUGUACUUCCCGCAUAGUGGUCAGAGCUUUUUCCAGGUUGGUUUGAAAGUCAACCCGAGACGAUCUAUCCAGGGUACAUACCUCUCUGUCGAGCAUCGGGAGAUUGUCUUUUAUAGGACCCACAAGCUCAAGGACAGAGUCGUGGUCUGAGACAGGAGUAAGCUGAGACGCAAAUGUCGACUUGCUUACACCUUUUGCCAAAAAAGUAGAAUCUUCUAAAUAGAGAAUACUGAAAAAAACUUCACCAACACCAACAUAUCAGAAGGUAGUUGAAAAGGGGCUUUAAUGCGCUUGCUUACUCGAAAGAAUAAGGAUUUAAGUAGCCGAAUCGACAUCUUUCUCUUCCAAUCCAUCCUAUUGAUCUGAUUGUAAGGUAAAUUGGCUGAAUUCCUAUCCCCAACUGCGGUUCUUGCAAAGAGCGCUAAGCACCUCUUACUCUAAUGAAAGGCCUUGGUGAUUCGAAGAUUUGCAACUCGACCGCAUACAUAAGAAAGAGAGGGAGCCCUUGGUCAAAGGAAAAGCCAUAACCUGCCUCUUUAUUUAUGUACGUACACCUUUCUUUCAAGGUGGGGCCGCCUCCUGCUAAUCCGGCCAUUUCCGAACCUUUCUUUCCCACCCCAUUCAAUGCAAUGGAGGACUUCUCAAUUCUUGCGAUUCCCAGCCCCCAAAAAAAAAGACUCAAAAAGGCAAGGCUCCAAGAAUGAUCGGAGACCUAGAACUGACCCACUACGCGGUCGGCGAAUAAGUUGCUUUCGAAAUCUUCUGAUCGCCAUUCUCUUCUUUCUUCUUUCUCGUAAUUCCCGCCGAACUAGGAGUUUGAAGAUAGAAGUCUAAGGCCAACUUCUCUAACUAUUUACACCGAUCUCAGUUCUUGCGGACAAGGUCUCCACUUCCUUAUUCUUUUUUUUGAGAAUAUGUGCUAUAAUGAAUGAAUUCUAAGGAAAAGCUAGAGUACUAAAGAAGUUAGAGUAACUAAAGAAAAUUAGCCCUUAGAUUAACCCCAAUGCAGUAGAGGGAGAGGCUGAAAGAAGGCGAAUAGAAACUAGAAUGAAGGGGAAGGUGACCCUCGGCAGGAAAAGGCUGCUAAUAGUGAUCAGGAAGGUUCUCUCGCAGGGGAGUUUUAGAUAUUAUGUCCCUUGCUUAAGAAGAAGGUGGAGCGCUUGCUCUUGCUGGAAAAGCUCUUUCUUAUGUUCCAGGGUAGGGAAUUUCUUCUUGACCUGCCUGGCGUAGGAGGCUGAAUUCCCCUAUUAGCCGUUUUUAGGUUCAGACUUUGGAGCAUCUUCAUUCCCUUUCUGAUAAUGAGAGGAAAAGUAUGAUUUGUUCUCGUUAGUUAGCAACUCGAUUUAGAGAUUUGACUGUCCUUUUCACUGAUUCAAGUUGUUCACUUUCGGGCAAAACCUAGUUCAUUGGGAUUCUCCCGCUCCGUGGGAAAGAGGAAAUGGGGAAUUCUCAUUCUUUCGAGUCAAAGCCAUAGGCUUC